rnacentral:sRNA from 1 species
CGUUAUCUUAAAGGAACCUCGCAUCAGG